GCCACUGUGUGCUCUUGAGGAUUAGUGAGAAUUCAAAUCGUGUGGGGAAGGGCAGGUGGGGAAGGAGCCCAGGUGAGGGCUAAGCCCGAAGCGGGUCACUGGUCACCACGGCGGCCAGCAGAGAGGAGGUCUGCGGAUGUGCGUGCCUGGGCUCAUAUGGAAACCGGAAGGAAAUCCACCAACCCCGGACUUCCGCGUUGCGGUAACUUAGGAGAGGGCUGGUGGUGCCGUGAGGAGGGACGCCAGUGAGGCCCACAUCGUGUGUCUGGCUGAGGUCGCUGCGCGAAGACCAUCCUGGGAGCCACUCCUGCGCGGAGAUGCCGCGCGGGGCCGUGCGGAGACGCUGAGACAAACCCCGAACUCAUACCUAGGGCGGCCCAGGAGGCCGCAGUGAGAGGAGGAUCCACUGAGAGCGCACCCUCCCGGGGAAAGACACGCACCCGCGCCGCCCCGCGCCUCCGCAUGCACCCUGGCUCCUGCUCAAGUUCCUACUUCAGCCUCAUAACUUGUCUCCCUGCUUCUACCCUGGACCUCCCACGCCUUGACACAGCCCCCCAAAGGAGCCAUUUAAGAGCAUAAAUUCCUUCUGUCCUCCACCAUUUUCAUCCUCCCUGGCUCUCCACUGCCCUCAAAGAGAAACAUUAAGCCUCUGCAGUGGCCUGCCAAGCCUGAGGCGGUCUGCGCCUCCUCCCCUGCCCUCCUCCCCAGCUCGCUUCUGCCCAGCCACACGCGGUCCUCCCUGCUGUCGGCCUUGACCUGCCCUGCACCCUCCUGCCUCAGGACCCAAACUAAGCACUGGUGGUCGCCAGCAGAGCCCGCAGCCCACCCCUUCACCUUCUCCCGACCUUACUUCAAAUGUCACCUUUCAACCAGGGCCCCCCAACUCCAAAGCUGCAGAACACGCCUGCCUGGGCGCCCCAGCCUGCCCCUAACUCCAACCUGACCUGGUUCCCAUCACCUGGGCCACUGCACAUGUCCCCUAAGCUGCUUUCCCUCUCCGUUGGAGUUUUUGUCUUCUGCUCUUGCUGGAAUACAAGCUCACUGAGAGCAGGGAUUUUGCUUUUUCACUGAGGAACCAAGUAUUUGGCUGGAGCAAGAGGCCAGGGGAUGAAGACUUGGUGAGUGAAGUGGAAAGGCCACGCGCACAGACAGGGUUGUGGCAAAAGAGGAGGAGCUGCGUCACUACCGUGAGCGAAGAUGGGAGGAGAGGCAGUUCGCAGAGCGCUGCACAGUGUGGAGAUCUGGCCAAGCCUUCCCACCUGGAGCCUCCGCACCCUGUGAGCUGUGCACUCACGCAGCAGGACAGGGAGCCGAGGGUGCUCCCAAGGCCCAGGGUCACCCAGGAAAAUGCCAUCCCGGAGCUGCUGGUCCCCUGCAUGUGCCACCUCGCCACCGCCACCGUGAAGGGACACAGGUGGCAGCUGUCAGCUGCUUCACCUUUGCCGGGAAUGUUUGUUGUUAAAUUUUUUCCUCCGGCUUCUCUGUUCACAUUUCACUGUAAAAUACAACACAAACACAGCAGUCCACACAAAACACAAGGAUGAGCUAGUAACUGUGACGCAGUGGACCUAUCAGUGUGGCUCCAUCAAGAAACAGAACUUUGAAGCUGCCCAGGGGACCCUAUGGGUGGUGUCACUCCCACACAGCACCCUGGUGUCCCCAGGUCCCCAUGUCUCGGCCACCCCAGGCAAGGAGCCUUGCCUCACCUUCAAGUCUGACAUCUGGAUGUGUCUUUAGAUGCUACUGAUUUGGUCCUAUCCUUUUUUUUUUUUUCCUCUUUUU